GUGCUUGGCGGGUGCUAUACAUGCAGUCGAGCGAAUGGAUUAAGAGCUUGCUCUUAUGAAGUUAGCGGCGGACGGGUGAGUAACACGUGGGUAACCUGCCCAUAAGACUGGGAUAACUCCGGGAAACCGGGGCUAAUACCGGAUAACAUUUUGAACCGCAUGGUUCGAAAUUGAAAGGCGGCUUCGGCUGUCACUUAUGGAUGGACCCGCGUCGCAUUAGCUAGUUGGUGAGGUAACGGCUCACCAAGGCAACGAUGCGUAGCCGACCUGAGAGGGUGAUCGGCCACACUGGGACUGAGACACGGCCCAGACUCCUACGGGAGGCAGCAGUAGGGAAUCUUCCGCAAUGGACGAAAGUCUGACGGAGCAACGCCGCGUGAGUGAUGAAGGCUUUCGGGUCGUAAAACUCUGUUGUUAGGGAAGAACAAGUGCUAGUUGAAUAAGCUGGCACCUUGACGGUACCUAACCAGAAAGCCACGGCUAACUACAUGCCAGCAGCCGCGGUAAAA
rnacentral:rRNA from 1 species